ACUGCUAUCGGAUUGAUACUAAGCCAUGCGAGUCAUUGUAGCAAUACAAGGCAGACGGCUCAGUAACGCGUAGUCAACCUACCCUAUGGACGGGAAUAACCUCGGGAAACUGAGAAUAAUGCCCGAUAGAACACUAUGUCUGGAAUGAUUUGUGUUCCAAAUGAUUUAUCGCCGUAGGAUGGGACUGCGGCCUAUCAGUUUGUUGGUGAGGUAAUGGCCCACCAAGACUAUUACAGGUACGGGCUCUGAGAGGAGUAGCCCGGAGAUGGGUACUGAGACACGGACCCAGGCCCUAUGGGGCGCAGCAGGCGAGAAAACUUUGCAAUGUGCGAAAGCACGACAAGGUUAAUCCGAGUGGUUUCUGCUAAAGGAACCUUUUGUCGGUCCUAGAAACACCGAUGAAUAAGGGGUGGGCAAGUUCUGGUGUCAGCCGCCGCGGUAAAACCAGCACCUCAAGUGGUCAGGAUGAUUAUUGGGCCUAAAGCAUCCGUAGCCUGCUUUGUAAGUUUUCGGUUAAAUCUGUACGCUCAACGUACAGGCUGCCGGGAAUACUGCAAAGCUAGGGAGUGGGAGAGGUAGACGGUACUCGGUAGGAAGGGGUAAAAUCCUUUGAUCUAUUGAUGACCACCUGUGGCGAAGGCGGUCUACCAGAACACGUCCGACGGUGAGGGAUGAAAGCUGGGGGAGCAAACCGGAUUAGAUACCCGGGUAGUCCCAGCCGUAAACCAUGCAAACUCAGUGAUGCAUUGGCUUGUGGCCAAUGCAGUGCUGCAGGGAAGCCGUUAAGUUUGCCGCCUGGGAAGUACGUACGCAAGUAUGAAACUUAAAGGAAUUGGCGGGGGAGCACCACAAGGGGUGAAG
rnacentral:rRNA from 1 species